rnacentral:siRNA from 1 species
GUUAGAGGAACAGCUGACUCUGA